UACGUAGGGGGCUAGCGUUGUCCGGAUUUAUUGGGCGUAAAGAGCGUGUAGGCGGCCAAGUAGGUCUGGUGUGAAAACUCGAGGCUUAACCUCGAGAUGUCAUCGGAAACCAUCUGGCUAGAGUCCGGAAGAGGAGAGUGGAAUUCCUGGUGUAGCGGUGAAAUGCGCAGAUAUCAGGAAGAACACCAAUGGCGAAAGCAGCUCUCUGGGACGGUACUGACGCUGAGACGCGAAAGCGUGGGGAGCGAACGGG
rnacentral:rRNA from 1 species